rnacentral:rRNA from 1 species
UCAGAACGAACGCUGGCGGCAGGCCUAACACAUGCAAGUCGAGCGAGUCUUCGGACUUAGCGGCGGACGGGUGAGUAACGCGUGGGAACGUACCCUUUGGUUCGGAAUAGCCCUGGGAAACUGGGAGUAAUACCGAAUGAGCUCUUCGGAGGAAAGAUUUAUCGCCAAAGGAUCGGCCCGCGUUGGAUUAGGUAGUUGGUGGGGUAAUGGCUUACCAAGCCGACGAUCCAUAGCUGGUUUGAGAGGAUGAUCAGCCACACUGGGACUGAGACACGGCCCAGACUCCUACGGGAGGCAGCAGUGGGGAAUCUUAGACAAUGGGGGCAACCCUGAUCUAGCCAUGCCGCGUGAGUGAUGAAGGCCUUAGGGUUGUAAAGCUCUUUCAGCUGGGAAGAUAAUGACGGUACCAGCAGAAGAAGCCCCGGCUAACUCCGUGCCAGCAGCCGCGGUAAUACGGAGGGGGCUAGCGUUGUUCGGAAUUACUGGGCGUAAAGCGCGCGUAGGCGGAUUGGAAAGUUGGGGGUGAAAUCCCGGGGCUCAACCUCGGAACUGCCUCCAAAACUCCCAGUCUUGAGUUCGAGAGAGGUGAGUGGAAUUCCGAGUGUAGAGGUGAAAUUCGUAGAUAUUCGGAGGAACACCAGUGGCGAAGGCGGCUCACUGGCUCGAUACUGACGCUG